UGGGGAAUAUUGGACAAUGGGCGAAAGCCUGAUCCAGCCACGCCGCGUGUGUGAAGAAGGUCUUCGGAUUGUAAAGCUCUUUAAGUUGGGAGGAAGGGCAGUAAGCGAAUACCUUGCUGUUUUGACGUUACCGACAGAAUAAGCACCCGCUAACUCUGUGCCAGCAGCCGCGGUAAUACAGAGGGUGCAAGCGUUAAUCGGAAUUACUGGGCGUAAAGCGCGCGUAGGUGGUUCGUUAAGUUGAAUGUGAAAGCCCCGGGCUCAACCUGGGAACGGCAGCGGAAACUGGCGGGCUAGAGUAGGGCAGAGGGUGGUGGAAUUUCCUGUGUAGCGGUGAAAUGCGUAGAUAUAGGAAGGAACACCAGUGGCGAAGGCGAGCACCUGGGCUGAUACUGACACUGAGGUGCGAAAGCGUGGGGAGCGAACAGG
rnacentral:rRNA from 1 species